GAUGAACGCUGGCGGCGUGCUUAACACAUGCAAGUCGAACGGGAAACCUAUUAUUGAAACUUCGGUCGAUUUAAUUUGUUUCUAGUGGCGGACGGGUGAGUAACGCGUGGGUAACCUGCCCUAUACAGGGGGAUAACAACCAGCAAUGGUUGCUAAUACCGCAUAAGCGCACGGGACCGCAUGGUCCAGUGUGAAAAACUCCGGUGGUAUAGGAUGGACCCGCGUUGGAUUAGCUAGUUGGUGGGGUAACGGCCCACCAAGGCAACGAUCCAUAGCCGGGCUGGGAGGGUGAACGGCCACAUUGGGACUGAGACACGGCCCAGACUCCUACGGGAGGCAGCAGUGGGGAAUAUUGCACAAUGGGUGAAACCCUGAUGCAGCGACGCCGCGUGAAGGAAGAAGUAUCUCGGUAUGUAAACUUCUAUCAGCAGGGAAGAUAGUGACGGUACCUGACUAAGAAGCCCCGGCUAACUACGUGCCAGCCGCCGCCGUAA
rnacentral:rRNA from 1 species